AACGUAGGAGACAAACGUUAUCCGGAGUUACUGGGCGUAAAGGGCGUGUAGGUGGUUUCGUAAGUCUGGCGUGAAAUUUCUCGGCUUAACCGAGGCAGGUCGUCGGAUACUGCGAGGCUAGAGGACGGUAGAGGCGUGUGGAAUUCCGGGUGUAGUGGUGAAAUGCGUAGAGAUCCGGAGGAACACCAGUGGCGAAGGCGACACGCUGGGCCGUACCUGACACUGAUGCGCGACAGCAUGGGGAGCAAACAGG
rnacentral:rRNA from 1 species